rnacentral:misc_RNA from 1 species
UUGAUUUUUAAAGGAUGUUGCUGGCUCCUCUGGGGGUAUGUGCACUCCUAAACAAAAACCAAUAUCCACCUGUGCACCUUUAGUAGGCAAGAGAAGACCUUUAACCAGGACCCUUUUGUCUAUGUUUCUAUCACAAACGCUUAAUCUAUUUGAAUGUCUAAUAAUACAACAAAUAGUAUUUGUAAUA